AAAAAAAAAAAAAAAGAGGGAAGAGAGAGCGGAUGUUUUCUUGAAAGUGCGGGUUGGUGGAAGAGAGAGAGCGAGAUGAAGGGACGGAGGUUUUCUUGAAAGAGUGGGUUGAAGAUGAAGAGACAUAUGGUGGGAUAAAGAGGAGAUGAAGGAAAUAUACGGUGAGAUAGGGGUAGAUGAAGGGUUGUAUGGUGGAUGGAGGUAAGAGAGAGAGAGGUCCACUUAUAAAAAAAAAUAGAAAAAAAAAAUAGAAAAGUUCAAAAAAAUAAGGAUUUGUAUUGGGAAAUCAUAUAAAGUUAUAAAGUUAUAGAUGAUAGAAAGAUAAUAUAGAUAUAUUCUAAUAUAUGAUCUAAAUAAAA
rnacentral:lncRNA from 1 species